GAUGAACGCUGGCGGCGUGCCUAAUACAUGCAAGUCGAGCGAACAGACGAGGAGCUUGCUCCUCUGACGUUAGCGGCGGACGGGUGAGUAACACGUGGAUAACCUACCUAUAAGACUGGGAUAACUUCGGGAAACCGGAGCUAAUACCGGAUAACAUGUUGAACCGCAUGGUUCAACAGUGAAAGACGGUCUUGCUGUCACUUAUAGAUGGAUCCGCGCCGCAUUAGCUAGUUGGUAAGGUAACGGCUUACCAAGGCAACGAUGCGUAGCCGACCUGAGAGGGUGAUCGGCCACACUGGAACUGAGACACGGUCCAGACUCCUACGGGAGGCAGCAGUAGGGAAUCUUCCGCAAUGGGCGAAAGCCUGACGGAGCAACGCCGCGUGAGUGAAGACGGUCUUCGGAUCGUAAAACUCUGUUAUUAGUGAAGAACAAAUGUGUAAGUAACUAUGCACGUCUUGACGGUACCUAAUCAGAAAGCCACGGCUAACUACGUG
rnacentral:rRNA from 1 species